GACCUGAACUUCAAAAAAUACUGAAAAUUGCACAUAUUGCCUGUAUCUGGGUUGGACAAAAUACUUCCUCUUGAGCCAGUAUGUUUAAAAAAAUAAGUUACCUCACUGAUUAAAAUCUAUUGAGCUCUUUUUUCUUUUUUUUCCCCAUGAUCAGAUGACACAUAGUCUAACUUUAAUUCUGCUUUUAUAUUGUUUCUAAUUUCUAAAUAUGAAAAAAUUGGUCUUUAUGCAUUAAUUUGGGUGAAUUUUGUAUUAACCCAAAAAAUCUACCAUCCCUUCUACUGUCCCUUGCUUCAUCAGCCCACAGAUCACUGCCCAAGUUUUACGAUGUAGGUAGCCCCCUUAGCAGAAGCAGUGAAUUGAUAGCAGAAUUGCCAGAAGGCUCUGCAGUCUGGUCCCAUCAAAAUCAACUGCUUCUUUUGUAACUGAUGCCUGAACAGUUCAAUUAAUUUGGAAAAUGAACUGGCUGAUCUGGAAAAAGCAUCAGAAAAGUUCUGUCCCUGAUAAUCUCUGUGUCUUUCCUCACAGUAUUUGGUGGUGAUGAUACUGAACUAAUCGUAACUGGUGAUCCCAAAUUGAAAAAAGCACUGAGCAGCAUUUUCAGAAACAUAUUGCUGCCAAAACAAGACCACCUGAGGGCUCUUCCGACCUGAAUGAUCCUACAAGCCUUGCUAGAAGCACUCACGUAGAAAUAUGCUGGAUUCUGGAUGCUUUGCAAGACAGAGACAUCAACAUAAGCUUUAAAAUACAGGAAUUGCCCAGCCCUGGAGAAUUCCCUUCUCUGUCAUGUGUGGUGCUUUCUGGGAAUUCUGCAGCUGCUCGUGUGCACUAGAGCUUUCGCUGGUGAAGUCUCCAGAUCUGGAGUCCUGACACCACUCACGAGGUUAUCACUUCAUUCCCGGUAAGAAAGUCUGAUCCAUGCCAUCCAGAUUUACUGCUCCCAAAUCAAAACCAUUUGCUAAAGUAACGAGGGGUGAUUGGCUUGAGUGGUACUAAUCCACAUCAGAGUUACUUUGAAAGGUUUGGGGGCAUAUAGGGAUAAUAAUGAGCAGCCAAAGAAAAGCCGUUAGCAUGAUUAGAAAGCCCAUAGAUAUACUGAGUUUAUUUCAUUGAGGAUUUAUAACCAUCUUAUCAGCAAAUUAUCCCAUUAAAAGCUGAUUUCAAGUAAGAAUCCCAGUGGUUCUAGAAGAAAUCCAGUAAGUAAUACGCAAAUCAAUUCUAAUGAGAUGCACUGAUAACCCCAGCCUGUGGGACUACAGUUUAUUUUCAACAGCAGCAAAGUGGCCAUAAAUCUAUGGACUGACUUUGUUCCAAUAUAAGUCCUUUAAAUGAGUGGCACAUGAUUUUUUUUUCCACCUUCACAACCAAGCACCUACUGCUCUGCCUUGUACCGGUCUGUAAAAAGUAGCUGCUCAGCCUGUGCUAAACAUCAGCCACCAGGUUCCAGGAGCUGUGUGACUGAGUUGUUAGGCUGCAGAUUCGAACCACUUGUGAACUAUUUAGGACUCUUAAACAGAGCAGAUUCAUGUCCAGUUGAGACAAA
rnacentral:lncRNA from 1 species